ACUGAACAAUCUAGGGCGUGGUAACCACUUUAGAGUCACCUAAGUUCCAAUGGGAACAAGUUUGGGAGCCACCACCAUGAGCUUGGGUCUACUUCAGAACUGAGCUCUCUAAUCUCUUCUAUGGCUGAUGGUCACCACACCAGCAUUCUAAUUAAGACCAAUUUCCUUGGCAGGAGUUUCAAAUUUUUGCCAGGAACCAACACAUCGUCAUUUACUAGAGCAUCAGAUUAUCUGAUAAUAUUUAUCUUGACCUCACAAUCCUACUAAUGAGGGAUGUCAGCCAGGAGCAGAAGCCAGAGGGAGACAAUGGGGAAGCAGGAGAGACCACAAACCAUCAUUCAAAUCUAAGCAAAAGCCGGGCGUGGGGAAAGAAGUCGUAAGGAAACACAUCCAACAUCUCUUUUAACUAAUGGAAGCAAGAGCUCUUGGACAGAAGAUAGAACACAAGAGGCAGGUGAUACAAUAUCGUCUUGAAAACGAAAGGAGAAAAAGAAAAAACAUAAAAGUUUUUUAUUAUUUCUCCAGCUUGUUGGAGGAAAACCACAAUGAAACCCUCAUAUUUUUUUCUGUGAAGAGGCCUCAAUGGGUCAGGGCGCUCGUAUGCACAUAAACUGAGGCCAGUGCACAGAUUCUCGCUUCAAGCACGUACUGUUUCCCAGCUAAGAGAGUAUCUCCAAAACAUUUAUUGAUUCUGUUGCCCUAGUUUGAAUCUCAAUGAUGUAAACUUUGCUAAAGCAUUUUAAAGUAAAUCACGGACAUUAUGCCAUUUCGUCCCCUAAAUACUUCAGCAGGUGUCCCUCGGAAUGAGAGCAUCCACCCACACAACCGGGCUAACAAAGCCAACACAUCAACCAGGAUCCUUCACUUGUGAAGAUUCAUGGUUCAAUGCCUUUAGCGAGUUUACGGAAUCGGCGGUGUGGCUUCCCAUUGUGUCGUAUCAGGAAGGCCCCUGGAGGAGACUGUCCCAUUGCUGACGCGGUGGGGUGGGCGCACCUGGCUCCGGCGGUGUCCGCUGACCCUUCCGUGGGGAAGGCACCUCUUCCCUUCGCCAUCAGUAGGGUUGUCCGAGUGGUGAUGAUUUGAGGCUACGCGAAUACCGUAUUCUCCACAACUUCUCAGGCCGUGGGUUUUCUUGUCCACCGAUGAUCUUUGCCAA